UGCUCUGGUGGCCUAGUGGUUAGAGCGUCCACAUCGGAUGUAGGAGAUCAUGGGUUCGAGCCCCGGCUGAGUCA